GAUGAACGCUGGCGGCGUGCCUAAUACAUGCAAGUCGAGCGAACGGACGAGAAGCUUGCUUCUCUGAUGUUAGCGGCGGACGGGUGAGUAACACGUGGAUAACCUACCUAUAAGACUGGGAUAACUUCGGGAAACCGGAGCUAAUACCGGAUAAUAUUUUGAACCGCAUGGUUCAAAAGUGAAAGACGGUCUUGCUGUCACUUAUAGAUGGAUCCGCGCUGCAUUAGCUAGUUGGUAAGGUAACGGCUUACCAAGGCAACGAUGCAUAGCCGACCUGAGAGGGUGAUCGGCCACACUGGAACGGAGACACGGUCCAGACUCCUACGGGAGGCAGCAGUAGGGAAUCUUCCGCAAUGGGCGAAAGCCUGACGGAGCAACGCCGCGUGAGUGAUGAAGGUCUUCGGAUCGUAAAACUCUGUUAUUAGGGAAGAACAUAUGUGUAAGUAACUGUGCACAUCUUGACGGUACCUAAUCAGAAAGCAACGGCUAACUACGUG
rnacentral:rRNA from 1 species